AUUGAACGCUGGCGGCAGGCCUAACACAUGCAAGUCGAACGAGUCGCGGACGUGAGAGUAAUGUCUGGGAAACUUCCUGAGGGAGGGGGAUAACAACUGGACACUGUAGCUAAUACCGCAUCCCAUCGGCUGUGCCGAGAUGGGAUUAGCUAGGAGGUGGGGUAAAGGCUCACCAAGGCGACGAUCCCUAGCUGGUCUGAGAGGAUGACCAGCCACACUGGAACUGAGACACGGUCCAGACUCAUACGGGAGGCAGCAGUGGGGAAUAUUGCACAAUGGGCGAAAGCCUGAUGCAGCCAUGCCGCGUGUAUGAAGAAGGUCUUCGGGUUGUAAAGUACUUUCAGCGGGGAGGCGUUACCUGCAGAAGAAGCACCGGCUAACUCCGUGCCAGCAGCCGCGGUAAUAC
rnacentral:rRNA from 1 species